AUGUGGAUGAAGACCAUGUUCUUGGUGCUCCUACUAUGCAUGCUGGUGGCGACACCAAUGGCGGCCGAGUACGGCGUGGGGAGCCAUAACAGUGGUCCUUGGAUGUGGUGUGAUCCGGCGAUGGGCCACAGGGUGAGCCCGCUCACGGGAUGCCGAGCAAUGGUGAAGCUCCAGUGCGUGGGCAACCAGGUGCCGGAGGCUAUCCAAAGAGACUGCUGCCAGGAGCUCGCCAACAUCACCAACGACUGGUGCAGGUGCCAUGACCUCGGCAGCAUGCUGAACAGCGUGUAUCAGGAGCUCGGCGCGCGGGAGGGAACGGAGGUGUUCCCGGGUUGUCGGAAGGAGGUGAUGAAGCUCACAGCGGCGAGCGUGCCUGCGGUCUGCAAGGUGCCCAUUCCUAACGCGAGGGGUGGAGAAGGUGUCUGCUACUGGGCCUAG
rnacentral:rRNA from 1 species